rnacentral:rRNA from 1 species
UACGAAGGGGGGCUAGCGUUGUUCGGAUUUACUGGGCGUAAAGCGCGCGUAGGCGGCUUUGUAAGUUAGAGGUGAAAGCCCGGGGCUCAACCCCGGAACUGCCUUUAAGACUGCAUCGCUUGAAUCCGGGAGAGGUGAGUGGAAUUCCGAGUGUAGAGGUGAAAUUCGUAGAUAUUCGGAAGAACACCAGUGGCGAAGGCGGCUCACUGGACCGGUAUUGACGCUGAGGUGCGAAAGCGUGGGGAGCAAACAGG